rnacentral:rRNA from 1 species
GACCUGGCUGGGUGGUCCGCCUAACGGCGUGUACUGUCCGGCUGGGCCUUACCUCUUGGUGAGCCGGCGUGCCCUUCACUGGGUGCGUCGGGGAACCAGGAUCUUUACCUUGAGAAAAUUAGAGUGUUCAAAGCAGGCCUAUGCCCGAAUACAUUAGCAUGGAAUAAUAAAAUAGGACUU